AUUGAACGCUGGCGGCAUGCUUUACACAUGCAAGUCGGACGGCAGCACAGAGAAGCUUGCUUCUUGGGUGGCGAGUGGCGAACGGGUGAGUAACAUAUCGGAACGUACCGAGCAGUGGGGGAUAACUAAUCGAAAGAUUAGCUAAUACCGCAUAUCUUCUGAGGAAGAAAGCAGGGGACCAUUUGGCCUUGCGCUGUUUGAGCGGCCGAUAUCUGAUUAGCUAGUUGGUGGGGUAAAGGCCUACCAAGGCGACGAUCAGUAGCGGGUCUGAGAGGAUGAUCCGCCACACUGGGACUGAGACACGGCCCAGACUCCUACGGGAGGCAGCAGUGGGGAAUUUUGGACAAUGGGCGCAAGCCUGAUCCAGCCAUGCCGCGUGUCUGAAGAAGGCCUUCGGGUUGUAAAGGACUUUUGUCAGGGAAGAUAAGGGCGGGGUUAAUACCCCUGUCUGAUGACGGUACCUGAAGAAUAAGCACCGGCUAACUACGUG
rnacentral:rRNA from 1 species